GGGGAUGUACUGGUUUUGACGCCGUGAUUGGUAGAUCCGGAUUGCGAGUGCGGGCGCUGUUCCCGCUUAUCAACGAGCAAACUAAAUUAAAUGCUAACGACAACGUUAUUGCAUUCCCUUCAAGAGCUAGACUCGCUGCCUAAUUGCAGUUAGGGACCUUCUAAGUGACCAGCUUGCCGUUGCUUAGGAUGACAUUAUGCAAGAUGCAGUACGCAAAUGAUGGUAUGCGUAUCAAGUUUAACCAUUGGAGGUUAGACUUCCGUAAAAAGUCUGAGGCUUAGUUCAGGUUUCGUAACUUUCCGUAUUAAGCCAAGAUAAUAAGUUACUACACUCGUAGAUGUUCGUUUUUAUCCACGAUGGACGCGGGUUCGACUCCCGCCAUCUCCAGUU
rfam:Acinetobacter sp. CAG:196 genomic scaffold, scf208